GAUGAACGCUGGCGGCGUGCCUAAUACAUGCAAGUCGAGCGAACGGACGAGAAGCUUGCUUCUCUGAUGUUAGCGUCGGACGGGUGAGUAACACGUGGAUAACCUACCUAUAAGACUGGGAUAACUUCGGGAAACCGGAGCUAAUACCGGAUAAUAUUUUGAACCGCAUGGUUCAAAAGUGAAAGACGGUCUUGCUGUCACUUAUAGAUGGAUCCGCGCUGCAUUAGCUAGUUGGUAAGGUAACGGCUUACCAAGGCAACGAUGCAUAGCCGACCUGAGAGGGUGAUCGGCCACACUGGAACUGAGACACGGUCCAGACUCCUACGGGAGGCAGCAGUAGGGAAUCUUCCGCAAUGGGCGAAAGCCUGACGGAGCAACGCCGCGUGAGUGAUGAAGGCCUUCGGAUCGUAAAACUCUGUUAUUAGGGAAGAACAUAUGUGUAAGUAACUGUGCACAUCUUGACGGUACCUAAUCAGAAAGCAACGGCUAACUACGUG
rnacentral:rRNA from 1 species